rnacentral:tRNA from 1 species
GGGUUUAUAGUUUAAUGGUAAAACUUUCGGCCGUUAACCGAAGAAUGAAGUUUCGAUUACUUCUGAACCCG